UGCUCCUGAGGAUUACAGGCAGCUACUGAACUCUUUAGAACUCUGUUUGAAACAGAGCAGGGACAUGAUCAAUUUGCUCUUCAGACAGAUAACUCGAACCCCUAUGAGGAAAAUCAGUUUGGUUGGGAACAAUACGGGUGGCCAGAAGAGUUGGUGUCUGUAGAGAAGGCAAGAAAUAACAACGGGUGGAGAGAUGUGAGAGACGGAGGAGGUAAAGUGUGUGACUGGUGGCAUAUGGGAGAUGAAGGAGAAGAGGGUUCAGGAUGACUCACAGUCGCUUAGAUGUGGGUGCCACUCAUUGGUUGGGGACAGAGAAACAGAACAGGGUGAAGACAAUUAAUUGAACUUGAGAUACGUGGGAUCUGAGAUGCCCGGUCAGCUGUCUACAUGAUGUCAAAUGGGCCAGUGGAUACGUGGAUCUGGGUGCCAGUUGUGAGUCAUCUAUGCUGGAGAUGGUCUCGGUUGAUGCCCUCAUGGGGUGAGAUGAUGCUUAGGGAGAGGGUACUGAGAGAGGACCUCUAGGGUAAUUCCUGGAGGGACAACCAGAGACAAAGAACCCCCAGGGAGACUCAGAAAUCAUGGGAAGAAUGGGGAAAGGAAAAGCAACCAGAUAAAUAGAGGCAGCCAUGAUGUUAUGUGAUGCUAAGAAACGAGAAAGCUGAAGCCUGAGAAGCAUCCUUUAAAUGCAGCACCACUACUCCUGCUUUCGGAAACCAGGAGCAACACGAGAUGGUCACUGGUUGCUGAAUGAAAUAAAUCAUCUGUCUCAUUAGUCCGGACAAGCACGAAGAAAGAGCAGCGUCGUCUGACAACCACAGUGUGAGAAGCAGCAUCAGACAGCAGCAUUAAAUGGCAUCUUAGUAUACAUACUUAGUACAUUUAGGACACGCUAUGCAGAGAGAGACUGCAGAGGUUCCAAAGCUCUACUGUGGAAGUGACUUACAAACACACAGCAAAACAAUCAAGAUGAAAGAAACCCCAAGAAAUCAGUUCUCUUUUAAAUUGAAAACAAGCAGGAAAUGGCACUGAUGGAGCUAAAGCUGGGCUUAAUGGUUUACAGUGGAAGAUGGCACCCGCUGACCCUCAGGGUCACCUCCUCACAAUGCCCUCAGGCCGGCUGACGGCAGCCCACCCCUCUGCUCCUUCCAUGACUUGACCUGUAACAGCACAAUCAAAAUACCCAGAAGAAGGGGCGCCUGGGUGGUUCAGUCGGUUAAGCGUCCGACUUCGGUUCAGGUCAUGAUCUCAUGGUUUGUGAGUUCGAGCCCCGCAUCGGGCUCUCUGCUGUCAGCAUGGAGCACACUUCAGAACCCGUGUCCCCCUCU